GCAGUUUGCUCAAAAGCAAAUCUGGUGUAGAUUUCGAUCAUCUGUUUGGCCUGCAAUACAGCACUGAACAUUCUUCAGGAAAAAAGAGAGAGACGCGAGGACUUGGUCGUCACAGCGAAUGGUGGUUGACGGCGGCGGAGUUAAGAAGCUUGAAGGCGGCGUGGUUUGUUAUUAGGUUUAGUUAGCAAAUAGGUUUAGGUUUAAGCUUGGUUUACUUUUGGUUUAUUUUUUUACAUGUAAACCAGUUUUAGUUUAUGAAUAAUUCAAUUUAAAAUUUAAAAAAAAAUUAUAUUUUAUUUUAUUUUUCAAUAAUGUAAUAAUAACAAAAAAAU
rnacentral:lncRNA from 1 species